rnacentral:lncRNA from 1 species
AAAGUCGAUAGCCUUGAGAAUAUGAAUUUUUUUUUUUAUUUUAUUUUUAAAGAAAAGUUUAUUGGCCCGAGUUCGUGCCCCCUUUUUUGGAUUGUCCUUGAUGUUGUCUAGACUCGCACACAUAAGCGUGACUCACUGACCGACCUCUCUUCUUCUUCUUCUUCUAUGGCUUUCUCUUCUUUAUCUCUCUCUCCUUCUCCUACUUAAUUAAGAAUCUUAAACGACGAAAGUAAUCUUCGGUAGCGAUGCGAACACGGGAGUAGCGGUAGUAAAAACAGGAAUCAAUAACAAAAAUAUCCGUAGUAAUAACAAUUUACGGCAAUUCGAUCCGAAACGGUUCUGAUCUAUUGGCUCAGUUCGAUGCAAUCGUUGCCAGCCGGAUCUCAGACAACACGCUAUGUACCAAGUGACGUCACGAUGUAGGGGUGGAGGAGGCAACUGCGUGUGUCCCAGGUUCAAGGUCAAGGGUGGGACGUCUGAUGUUGUGUUCUGUUGCUAUAGCUACGGGUACACUCCGGAUACGAGCGUUCUGACUGAACCACUUCACCAGCGCUCCAAUCUGCCAAGCAGUACAACUGUUGUUUCUCUUAAAAAUACGCGAUUUUAACGACUUAAAAAAAAAUCAAUCGAUCGAAAAAAAGAAAAAAAAGUAUAGUCGCGCAUCUCGUAAAUUAAUAAACGAAGCAGAGAUUUAUUUUUAUAAUAAAAUUCUUAACGGAAAUUUAGGAUUAUAGAGAAGGGGGGAGAGAGAGAGAGAGAGAAAUUUUUAAUUUUAGAUUCGCCUAGCGCGCGUUUUGCGCUUUGAUAUAUACUCUUACAAUAAUAAUCAGAAAACGUUGGCUAUGUAUCAAUAUAUUGACAGAAUCCUUCCUCAGGAGAUUUAUUGGGAGUUGCAGAUGAACAUGUGUUCUCUCGUCAAAAAAUUUUCUAUUCAUUCCCUUUUCUACAGAUACUCUCCUCUCUUAGUCAAAUAAAAAUUACAUUUGAUUGAAUAAGUCGAUUUUUUUUUUUUUAGAAAAUAGAUAAAUUUUGUUUUUUGAUAAAUUUACCUGUUAGCAAUAUUCGCUGAUGAUUAUAAUCAUUUUUACAUAUUUAUGUCAUAGGAACAGGCUAGUUUAUUAUUAUUUUUCAGCAUUAAAAAUAUAUAUUUUCUGAAUGUACAGAUUAGUAAUGUAAAAAAGAAAAAUGAUUAGCGAUAUUUUGGAGAUUCGAGAUCCUGCUUGUAUCUAUAUCUACAUGAGAGUUUUUAUCUUAAUGCGUGGCAAGAGAGAGAGAGAGAAUAGAAUGUCCAUAAAAUCCACUAAACCGUACUCUAAAGAAUAUUUUCCAUUAGAUAACUUUCCUGGAAAACACACCAAAAAGUAAAAAAAAAGAGAUC